rnacentral:rRNA from 1 species
ACAAGGUCUCCGUUUUGUGAACCAGCGGAGGGAUCAUU